rnacentral:sRNA from 1 species
UUCAUCUUCUUCUUCAUCUUCUUU